rnacentral:rRNA from 1 species
UACGAAGGGGGCGAGCGUUGUUCGGAGUUACUGGGCGUAAAGGGCGCGUAGGCGGCGAUCCAAGUUAGGCGUGAAAGCCCCGGGCUUAACCUGGGAAUAGCGCUUAAGACUGGACUGCUUGAGUGCGGGAGAGGUGAGUGGAAUUCCCAGUGUAGAGGUGAAAUUCGUAGAUAUUCGGAGGAACACCAGUGGCGAAGGCGGCUCGCUGGCUCAUUACUGACGCUGAGGUGCGAAAGCGUGGGGAGCAAACAGG